AUGUAUAAAAGAAGGAGCCUAAGACCGAAAAAGAGGCGGAAAAAAUCGAUUAUGCAGCAGCUAUCAUACCUUAUCGGAACUCCUUCAACAAGCUCCCUCAAUCACCGGCGAAUACCUCUGUCCGGGCACAAGCUAUCCUCAAUCGCGCAGCUUCUGCCCCGUCCAGAUCCACGAAGCUCCUUCUCUCGCAGUCGAAAUCAAUCGAUGACAACCUGCCAUCCACACGCUCAUCCGACGUCGCCGCACCUCUGA